CUUUGGAAUGUGGGUGCGUGUCCAUGGUAGAAGAGUGUCGUUUUUUUAGUGAUAGUGAUACCAGAGAAUCAGACAGGGAUGGCAACAGUUUACCCAUCUCUUCUAUGGUGCGUGAUGCUGCUGGACUGCCGGCUGUGUUAGGGAGCCCCAGUGUUCCUGUCGGGCCAGGCAACAGACAGUGUGCUGAAGAGACAGCGGCGCCACAACACUGGGGUGUUCCAGGAUAUGUUAUUGGUGAACCUGGAGAGUGUGUGUCUGGAGGAAAGCUGUGACCUGGAGGAGGCCAGGGAGGCAUUCGAGAACGAUGAGAAAACAUAACAGCCAGGCAGUGUAAGGUGAAUAACGGAGAAUGUAUUCUGUGGCACCUAUGGGGCACAAUGUAGCUGUGCAGAGGGGCUACAAGCUGCCUCAGAAUGGAGUCAACUUUAAACCUGAAGAUUCUUCAAAGUAGCCACCCAUUGCCUCGAUGACAGCUUUGCACACUCUUGGCAUUCUCUCAACCAGCUUCAUGAGGUAGUCACCUGGAAUGCAUUUCAAUUAACAGGGGAGCAUAACAUCUAUGCCAAAGAGGGCACGGAGCAGGACCAUAAGGUUUUGAAGCAGUACAAAACACCCUCUACAACUCUUAGCGGAGUCUGUACAAUCAUGAUAAUCGCCCUGCUGCGCCUCCACACCCCCAUCCUCUUCUCCUCCCACGCCAGACCCAUCUUCCUGGGGCCCAAGGUAUUCACCGAAGACUUGGUGAAGGAUGAGUCCCCGGCUACAAUCAGCGGCUGGGGUCGCACACAUUACAGAAGGUAGAGGUGCCAUUUACAGAGAGGACGCAGUGUAAGGAUAGCAGUAGUGCCCGCAUCACCAAGUACGUAUUUCCGUGCCGGCUAUGCUGACGUGGCCAAAGACUUGCGCCGGGGGAGAGCGGAGGUCCCCAUACCAACCGUUACCAUGACACCUGGUUCCUGACUGGGAUUGUGAACUGGGGGGAGGAGUGUGCCAAGGAGGGGAAGUAUGGGGUGUACACCAGAGUGUACACCAGACUAGCAUUACUAUAGAUGGAUACGUCACGUUAUGGCGGUGACCAAGGACAUGCUGCAUGAUGACCUGGACAACUAACGCUUGACCUUUGACCCUCAGGGUCCUCUGUCUUGUUUCAGGUCUCAUUUUCAGGGUUCAAUUCAUAAAAUGUCAAUUUUGUAUUCUUGCAUCGUCUUCCUCCAAUAUGCUGGUGAGAACACGUUUUACAAGACAGAUACCUGUAUGUCCAACAGGUGCCUACUGCACAUCAUGGUUAUUCAUAAAACAAUAAGAGUAAUUUACUGACGGAUGAAGGCAAAUGGCUGUCUGCAAACAACAAUUGCUUUAUGGUAUUUUGCUAUAGAGUAGCACAGAUUAAAACAAGGUGCAGAACAAAUGUAUUAUUUUAAUAAAUACUUUAUUUGGUCUAUAUACAAAAUGCAGCCAAACAAUAACAAUGACUGUAAAACAACCUGAAACCUGCCAUGUUCAGUCAAUAUUCAGUUUGCCAUGCAAUUUCUCUAUUGAGAAACAUUCAGCAACAAGCUUACAGCGCUUGUCAAAGACGCACAGCAUUUAAGCAUAUACUAAACAAAAAUAAAUUCAACAUGCAACAAUUUCAAGGUUUUACUGUGUUACAGUUCAUAUAAGGAAAUCAGUCAAUUUAAAUAUA
rnacentral:lncRNA from 1 species